AUGCUCGCUUCUGCGGCACAUGUACUAAAAUUGGAAAGAUACAGAGAUUAGCAUAGCCCUUGAGCAAGGAUGACAUGCAAAUUCAUGAAGCAGUCCAUAUUUUU